rnacentral:rRNA from 1 species
AUUGAACGCUGGCGGCAGGCCUAACACAUGCAAGUCGAGCGGAUGAGAAGAGCUUGCUCUUCGAUUCAGCGGCGGACGGGUGAGUAAUGCCUAGGAAUCUGCCUGGUAGUGGGGGACAACGUUUCGAAAGGAACGCUAAUACCGCAUACGUCCUACGGGGGAAAGCAGGGGACCUUCGGGCCUUGCGCUAUCAGAUGAGCCUAGGUCGGAUUAGCUAGCUGGUGAGGUAAUGGCUCACCAAGGCGACGGUCUGUAACUGGUCUGAGAGGAUGAUCAGUCACACUGGCACUGAGACACGGUACAGACUCCUACGGGAGGCAGCAGUGGGGAAUAUUGAACAAUGGGCGAAAGCCUGAUCCAGCCAUGCCGCGUGUGUGAAGAAGGUCUUCGGAUUGUAAAGCACUUUAAGUUGGGAGGAAGGGCAGUAAGUUAAUACCUUGCUGUUUUGACGUUACCGACAGAAUAAGCACCGGCUAACUCUGUGCCAGCAGCCGCCGUAACAC